CAGCAGCCGCGGUAAUACAGAGGGUGCGAGCGUUAAUCGGAUUUACUGGGCGUAAAGCGUGCGUAGGCGGCUAAUUGAGUCGGAUGUGAGAUCCCCGAGCUUAACUUGGGAAUUGCAUUCGAUACUGGUUAGCUAGAGUGUGGGAGAGGAUGGUAGAAUUCCAGGUGUAGCGGUGAAAUGCGUAGAGAUCUGGAGGAAUACCGAUGGCGAAGGCAGCCAUCUGGCCUAACACUGACGCUGAGGUACGAAAGCAUGGGGAGCAAACAGGAUUAGAGACCCCUGUAGUCCCUGUCUCUUAUAC
rnacentral:rRNA from 1 species